GUUGGUUUUCUCUCCUCGCCUAUAGUACUGGGUGAAUGUCAGUGUGGUGGAUGAACUACUGCAGAAGCUCCUGUCCACAGAACACUCUCAAUUACUUUUUUUUGAUAAAACGAAACUGCUGUGGACGUGGCGUUUCCCCUUGGCUGAAUUGGUCUGGCUGCAAUCACAUGCUCCGAUACCCCAACAUCUCUGUGGAGCCCUCAGACUCUCCCUGGUGCACUGACAUUAAACCAUUUGGUCAAGCAUGCUGUUUUCCCUUACACAUUGGUUCGGCUCCGGGCUGAAGUUUCCCUAGGUACCGAUCUAGGAUCAGCUCCCCCAAACCUUAACCAUUAGUUGGGGAAAUGUAAAACUGUAAAACUGACCCUAGAUCAGUGCCUAGGGGCAACUUCACCCUACAUCUUUGAGCUACACAUCCUUGUUAAGCCACACAGGAAAUACCCCUUUACUUGGCAAUGACCACACUUGCUUUGAGUGAAGAGAAAAGGCUAGACUUAAUGAAGAGAAAAUAUAAUCGUACAGUUCCACUAGCCCUCUCUCUCUCUCAUGUCCUUUAUUCUCUCAUACUUUCCAAGAAAGAGAUGGCUUGUGGAUGAAAGUCAAAUCCUAGAAAUGUCACCUGGUCUAUUUUUAUUGGGAUUAUCAUUUUAAAACUUAAAAGGAUUGUGCAGAAAGAAAAGUCAUGCCAGGGUGCAUUGUAUCAAACAGAUGGUUACAUUGGACAGUGGUUUGUCAAAGUAGGACAGAGUGUACUGUGUACAGUAUAUUAGACUAUUGACGUGUCCAUCCAUGCUGGUAGCGAGGAUGGGGGUUGUCUGGAGGUUAUCAGGAGGCAAGAUCCAGGGCAGAGAUAUGGCAAGCAGGAUGGGGAGCUUUCUGUUGCACAUAAGUCAACUAGAAUAUCCCAAAUAUACCACAUAAUGCAAUUUUGCCCCCCCCCCAAAAAA